rnacentral:lncRNA from 1 species
GAGGGGAUGAUAGAGGGCAGAGACAUCUUUUUGGUUGAUCAAUGAACUACAAUUUGAAGGCAUUUAAUUCUGAAAUAGAAAAUGUAGUUCCACACCUUCAAUUUACGCUUGAGUCCAGAGAGAGGCAGCUUGUUUAAUAUGACACAGAGCUGUGUCUAUGUGUAGGUGUGCACCAAAUUUGACGACAGAUUUCCAGUCUGAUACUUAAUUCCCUGCUAAAAAGAACAAUCCACCCAGACCCUUGAAUCACGUGUUCUACCUGAGACACGACUUAGAAGUUUGACAUAGGGGUUGGAGAGAUGGCUCAGUAGUUACUGCGGUUGCAGAAAUCCCAAGUUCAAAUUUUAGCACCCAUGUUGUGUGGCUGGCUCCUGACUGCCUGGGACUCCAGCUCCAAGGCAUUCGAUACCCUCUUCUGGCCUUUGAGGGCACUGCACUUAGGGACAAAGCUUAGUGUAGAAGAGGAUUUGUGCAUGCUUAACCAAUCCUCUCCCUACAGGUCAGAUGGGAUUCUGAUGGCGGACUCCCUGCAUUUUCCAGUGAUGCGGGAGGUGAAACAUUUUAUUGUCUACCCGCAGGGUGCUCGAAGCCGAGGAGCCCUGUUCCAUCCUCACCUCCAUACAGGCUGACUGUGGCUGAGACAUUGCCAGAUUGAUCUGAUUUUGUUCCGUUAGAAGUUAGGCUACCCCUUGGUGUCUCUGCUUUGCAAAAUAGGGACUCCUGUGACUACCUCUGCCUUGGAGUUAUUAGUGAGAAUUCAGAGUUAAUCUCUGUAGAGCAUUUUGAAAAGCACAAGGCAGUUAAUGAAUACUCUUGCAGUUUAUUAAGAUGGUUCCAAGCUGGGUGUUGUACAUAGCUCUAAUCUUAGAUCCAGGAGACGAAGAUAUGAGGGUCUCCAGGUUGAAGUCCCUUUGAGCUACACAGUGAGACCCCUGUCUCAAAAAAGUCAACUUCCUCUGCAAAAGACUGGUUUCCGUCCCAUCUUAUUUCCCUGGUACCUGGUAUGGGAUUCUCGUUGGUAUAGGGCAUCGAUUCUAGCUAUUUAUAAAAUAUAAAAGUGUCUCCGGGCUGGUUCUUAUUGUUGCUGAUUUAUCUGACUAUCCUUAUCUUAGCAGAUGUAAGUGAUAAUUGAACGACUAAACUUUAGCAACCCCACCUCUGCCUGUAAUUUCUACUUCCCUCUGAGUGAUUUCUUCUUCCCCACAGCAACACAUAAAGAGGUAACUGAAGUAAUUAUAUUAACAUAUGUAACUACUCCUGUGGCUCUCUACCUACCUUCUCCCCUCUUCUUCCUCAAGAGUAUCCCUGUUAUUAUUUUGUUUUGGUUUGUGUCAUUCGGUCUCAGGAUGUAUGUAGCUUUGGUGGCCUGACACUUGUUAGAUAGAGGUCAGUGUAGCCUCCGGCUCACAGAGUCAGCCUCCCAAACAACCUGGAAUUGAAGGGGGGCAUCCAUCCCUAUUCCCGGCCCUGCAAAUAUACCUUAAUUGUCGACAUGGUAAGCGAAUGCAUUUCUAACUUGGUAGGUGUUAUUCUAGAAGUAAGGCUGUGUUUCGAAUCGGGAGCCACAUGCUUUCCUCGGUGGUCUAGUGAAAGUCCCUUUGGCCAUUUGGUUAAAGUGGUAUGUUAUAUAAACUCCACUAUAAACUCACCAUUCCCCUCUGUCAUUCACGACACCACGUAAGGUACUCCGUUUCUCAUUUUCAAUCCCCUUGUUUUUGAAGCUCUUCUGUCGUUUUGCAGAGUGAUAAUUUCCAACUUCAAGUGUUUAUAGUAAAUAUUUUCUUUCCCAUCAUAGCCGUCUCUCUCCUCCCAUUUUCUU